rnacentral:misc_RNA from 1 species
AUUGAUUGCCCAGUACGCUGGGACAGCUGGUAAUGGGAUACCU